AUAAAUAAAACGAUAGAGUACGUAAUAAACGUUAGAGGAAAAUAAGGCCAAAGUGACAGCCGGGUGUGUUUCCAACAGCAGAAAGAGCAAGAGCCAAGACUCUGAAGGCAGAUAUUUUCUUACCUGGAUCAUGACAAGAACUAAGUCAGUCACAUCUGUCGUGUCAGCUCAUUUCCUACUGGAUGUGCUUGCAGAGACAGACACCGCAACAGCGGUCUCCUUUCAUCGGGAAGCAGGACAUAGGCAGAGCGAGGAUGAAAGACCAGGACCUGAGCUGGAAAGGGCAUUCAUGUGGAUUCCCACUCACACCCAGCUUGCUUGCCUACUAUGCAGCAAGACAAAAUGUACAUGCUGCAACUGCACUGAAAUCCAAAGCAUCAGACAUGCUAGGAAAUUAUUACAUAUGGAGAAACAAAGAAGAAAGAACUAAAGAUGUACAGUCUAGAGACUGGAAGUCGGUUUGUCAGAUCUUAAAUUUGUUUUUAAAAUCCAAUUGCUUUGAGUAUCUUUUCCUGUCCUUUUACCCUGUGGUGACAGCUAUCAACCACUGAUGGGAAGGCUCGUUUCUUGGAAGAAACAAAAGGGUGGAUCUUGCUUUCUGACCCAACUUGCUGGUCUGUCUUUUUACCGGGGAAGGUGAGAAUGUUAACACUCAGAGAUAUGAUUAAAGGCGUGUGCUAAUUCCUGU